rnacentral:sRNA from 1 species
GACCACUCCGCUCCCGGAGUCAAGGCCAUACGGACAGCCGGGUCCACUGCCGA